rnacentral:rRNA from 1 species
UUAAAUUGAAGAGUUUGAUCAUGGCUCAGAUUGAACGCUGGCGGCAGGCCUAACACAUGCAAGUCGAACGGUAACAGGAAGCAGCUUGCUGCUUCGCUGACGAGUGGCGGACGGGUGAGUAAUGUCUGGGAAACUGCCUGAUGGAGGGGGAUAACGUACUGGAAACGGUAGCUAAUACCGCAUAAUGUCGCAGGACCAAAGAGGGGGGACCUUCGGGGCCUCUUGCCAUCAGAUGUGCCCAGAUGGGAUUAGCUUGUUGGUGAGGUAACGGCUCACCAAGGCGACGAUCCCUAGCUGGUCUGAGAGGAUGACCAGCCACACUGGAACUGAGACACGGUCCAGACUCCGUACGGGGAGGCAGCAGUGGGGAAUAUUGCACGAAUGGGCGCAAGCCUGAUGCAGCCAUGCCGCGUGUAU